rnacentral:tRNA from 1 species
GGUUAUGCUGCUCAGUGGCACAGCACUUGCCUAGUAUGUGUGAGACCCUGGGUUUGAGUCCCAGCAUGGCUA